rnacentral:rRNA from 1 species
CUUCUACGGGAGGCUGCAGUCGAGAAUCUUUCGCAAUGGGCGAAAGCCUGACGAAGCGACGCCGUGUGUGUGAUGAAGGCCUUAGGGUUGUAAAGCACUUUCGCCUGGGAACAAGAAACAAUAGCUAAUAUCUAUUGAAUUUGAGAGUACUAGG